rnacentral:rRNA from 1 species
UACGAAGGGGGCUAGCGUUGUUCGGAUUUACUGGGCGUAAAGCGCACGUAGGCGGAUCGUUAAGUCGGGGGUGAAAUCCUGGAGCUCAACUCCAGAACUGCCUUCGAUACUGGCGAUCUCGAGUCCGGAAGAGGUGAGUGGAACUCCUAGUGUAGAGGUGGAAUUCGUAGAUAUCGGGAGGAACACCAGUGGCGAAGGCGACUUCCUGGCCUGUUCUUGACGCUGAGGCGCGAAAGCUAGGGGAGCAAACGGG